rnacentral:rRNA from 1 species
AACGAACGCUGGCGGCAUGCCUAACACAUGCAAGUCGAACGAGACCUUCGGGUCUAGUGGCGCACGGGUGCGUAACGCGUGGGAAUCUGCCCUUGGGUUCGGAAUAACAGUUAGAAAUGACUGCUAAUACCGGAUAAUGUCUUCGGACCAAAGAUUUAUCGCCCAGGGAUGAGCCCGCGUAGGAUUAGCUAGUUGGUGAGGUAAAGGCUCACCAAGGCGACGAUCCUUAGCUGGUCUGAGAGGAUGAUCAGCCACGCUGGGACUGAGACACGGCCCAGACUCCUACGGGAGGCAGCAGUGGGGAAUAUUGGACAAUGGGCGAAAGCCUGAUCCAGCAAUGCCGCGUGAGUGAUGAAGGCCUUAGGGUUGUAAAGCUCUUUUACCCGGGAUGAUAAUGACAGUACCGGGAGAAUAAGCCCCGGCUAACUCCGUGCCAGCAGCCGC